rnacentral:rRNA from 1 species
UAAGAGGUCCCGCCUGCCCUGUGACUGUAAGUUUAACGGCCGCGGUAUUUUGACCGUGCAAAGGUAGCGUAAUCACUUGUCUUUUAAAUGAAGACCCGUAUGAAUGGCACAACGAGGGCUUAACUGUCUCCUUUUUCUAGUCAAUGAACUUGAUCUCCCCGUGCAGAAGCGGGGAUGAGCACAUAAGACGAGAAGACCCUGUGGAGCUUUAGAUAAGGGAAUAGCCCCUUUCAACCACCCCCCCUCCCCGGGGGUAGGAACUAAACGGCCCCUAUUCCACUGUCUUUGGUUGGGGCGACCGCGGGGUAACAAAAACCCCCCACGUGGAACGAGAGUAUCUCUCUUACAACUAAGAGCUACAGCUCUAACUAGCAGAAUUUCUGACCAACAAGAUCCGGCAAUGCCGAUCAACGAACCGAGUUACCCCAGGGAUAACAGCGCAAUCCUCUUUUAGAGCCCGUAUCGACAAGGGGGUUUACGACCUCGAUGUUGGAUCAGGACAUCCUAUUGGUGCAGCCGCUAUUAAGGGUUCGUUUGUUCAACGAUUAA